rnacentral:rRNA from 1 species
GGAACCGGAGCUAAUACCGGAUAAUAUAUUGAACCGCAUGGUUCAAUAGUGAAAGACGGUUUUGCUGUCACUUAUAGAUGGAUCCGCGCCGCAUUAGCUAGUUGGUAAGGUAACGGCUUACCAAGGCAACGAUGCGUAGCCGACCUGAGAGGGUGAUCGGCCACACUGGAACUGAGACGCGGUCCAG